rnacentral:snRNA from 1 species
UUCUAAUACGUAACUAGAAUCAA